rnacentral:rRNA from 1 species
AUGGGAAUCACCAUCGACCGAGAAACAGGAAAUUACGAAGUACACGAGUUAGUCACUAAACACGACCAUAUCUUGCAAUUGCCUGGAACAUGCCACUUGAUGCCAUCACAACGGAAGAUAUCGACCUUGCAAGCUUUUGACAUUGAAACUGCAGAUGAUUCAGGAAUUGUACCAAAAGCAGCCCAUGAGCUGGCAAGUCGGCAAGUUGGUGGGUCAUUAAACCUUACCUACACACCUCGUGAUCACAAGAACUAUUUGCGAACCAAGCGUCAAAGGGAGUUGAUGUAUGGUGAAGCUGGAAGUAUGCUCAAGUACUUUCGAGAUAAAAAAUGA